GACGAACGCUGGCGGCGUGCUUAACACAUGCAAGUCGAACGGUAAGGCUCCAGCUUGCUGGGGUACACGAGUGGCGAACGGGUGAGUAACACGUGGGUGACCUGCCCUGCACUUCGGGAUAAGCCUGGGAAACUGGGUCUAAUACCGGAUAGGACCGCACCGUGAGGGUGUGGUGGAAAGUUUUUUCGGUGUGGGAUGGGCCCGCGGCCUAUCAGCUUGUUGGUGGGGUAAUGGCCUACCAAGGCGGCGACGGGUAGCCGGCCUGAGAGGGUGGACGGCCACAUUGGGACUGAGACACGGCCCAGACUCCUACGGGAGGCAGCAGUGGGGAAUAUUGCACAAUGGGCGGAAGCCUGAUGCAGCGACGCCGCGUGGGGGAUGACGGCCUUCGGGUUGUAAACUCCUUUCACCAUCGACGAAGGGUUUCUGACGGUAGAUGGAGAAGAAGCACCGGCUAACUACGUGCCAGCAGCCGCGGUAAUACGUAGGGUGCGAGCGUUGUCCGGAAUUACUGGGCGUAAAGAGCUCGUAGGUGGUUUGUCGCGUCGUCUGUGAAAUUCCGGGGCUUAACUCCGGGCGUGCAGGCGAUACGGGCAUAACUUGAGUACUGUAGGGGAGACUGGAAUUCCUGGUGUAGCGGUGAAAUGCGCAGAUAUCAGGAGGAACACCGGUGGCGAAGGCGGGUCUCUGGGCAGUAACUGACGCUGAGGAGCGAAAGCAUGGGGAGCGAACAGGAUUAGAUACCCUGGUAGUCCAUGCCGUAAACGGUGGGCGCUAGGUGUGGGUUUCCUUCCACGGGAUCCGUGCCGUAGCUAACGCAUUAAGCGCCCCGCCUGGGGAGUACGGCCGCAAGGCUAAAACUCAAAGGAAUUGACGGGGGCCCGCACAAGCGGCGGAGCAUGUGGAUUAAUUCGAUGCAACGCGAAGAACCUUACCUGGGCUUGACAUAUACAGGAUCGCGCCAGAGAUGGUGUUUCCCUUGUGGCUUGUAUACAGGUGGUGCAUGGUUGUCGUCAGCUCGUGUCGUGAGAUGUUGGGUUAAGUCCCGCAACGAGCGCAACCCUUGUCUUAUGUUGCCAGCACGUUGUGGUGGGGACUCGUAAGAAACUGCCGGGGUUAACUCGGAGGAAGGUGGGGAUGACGUCAAAUCACCAUGCCCCUUAUGUCCAGGGCUUCACACAUGCUACAAUGGUCGGUACAGUGGGUUGCCAGUCCGUGAGGGCGAGCUAAUCCCGCAAAGCCGGUCUCAGUUCGGAUCGGGGUCUGCAACUCGACCCCGUGAAGUCGGAGUCGCUAGUAAUCGCAGAUCAGCAACGCUGCGGUGAAUACGUUCCCGGGCCU
rnacentral:rRNA from 1 species